rnacentral:rRNA from 1 species
GAUGAACGCUGGCGGCGUGCUUAACACAUGCAAGUCGAACGAUGAAGCCCAGCUUGCUGGGUGGAUUAGUGGCGAACGGGUGAGUAACACGUGAGUAACCUGCCCUUAACUCUGGGAUAAGCCUGGUAAACUGGGUCUAAUACCGGAUAGGAGCGUCUACCGCAUGGUGGGUGUUGGAAAGAUUUAUCGGUUUUGGAUGGACUCGCGGCCUAUCAGCUUGUUGGUGAGGUAAUGGCUCACCAAGGCGACGACGGGUAGCCGGCCUGAGAGGGUGACCGGCCACACUGGGACUGAGACACGGCCCAGACUCCUACGGGAGGCAGCAGUGGGGAAUAUUGCGCAAUGGGCGCAAGCCUGAUGCAGCGACGCCGCGUGAGGGAUGACGGCCUUCGGGUUGUAAACCUCUUUCAGUAGGGAAGAAGCGAAAGUGACGGUACCUGCAGAAGAAGCACCGGCUAACUACGUG